CCGGUCUCCCGGUUCACUUCUGGUUGCAUCUUGCCCGUGAGCUCCUUCUUCUUACAGCCAGCUUGGCCCUUUUCUCGCCAUCUUUUGGGUAAUGCAGCGUAUCAAGCAGGCGAAGGCGAGGAUCAGAUGCGGUAGCAGCUGAAGGAGUCAUGGAGAGGGGGCGAGAGUGAGCAGCGGCUGUCGGCCAAGAAGGAAGAGGCUAGGGCGAGGACCGGAGGAGGAGGCGCUCAUGGUGGAGCAUAGGAGGAUGGAGGCGGAGUGCUACUGCAACGGCUGUGGGACUGGGCGAAAGGAUGAAAUUAUUGUUUACUUUAGAUUGGGGUGCUGGAGCCAAUGAAAAAAGAUCACUGCAGCUUUGAAUGUAGGCACAAGUCAAAUGAAACUAUUGGAUGGAGCAAUUCAGUGCGGUGGGGUACAGGGGCUGGUGCAGGAGGAUAUAUAACAGCAGAGUUCAUCUCUGUUUUGCUGACAAUUUACACUGAAACUGUUGAAAAGUAGAUAAUCAGCCAAUAAACAGUAAAUCAUCACAUCUAUUUGCUUUUCUGGUAUAUGGGGCCAUUAUUAUUCUGGUACUUCUAAAGAGUCAUUAUUCUUAUGGUACUUCUAAAUUUGCAUAUCUUUGUGUUCAGAUGGAAGUCACCUGGCAAAGGUCUAACGUUUCAGAUUUAAUGUUAUAUACAUGCCCAAGAGUAAUACGUUAUAUAAUAUACUCUAGACUGUAUUCUUAUUUAGUUUUUUUUCAUGCUUCUUGUUUCACUGGGCUAUUGCAAAGAUGACAUAUCCACUUGGAGUUGGAUAUUAUUUUGAUAACCAUAUCUAGCUAUUUUUACAAAAAAUAUCAAUUAACUUGCAUCGAUUCAAUGCUAGAGCGGUAGUCAUGAAACAUUGCCACUGCGCCACAAGGCGAUUAAAAUCAUGGAAAUUGAUAUAAAAGUUACUUGUGAUUUAUAUAGUCAUGUAAUCACAAACCAUAAUGAUAAAAAAGCCAAAUCAUUUAUUUUAUUGGAGAAUACAUCAAAUAUAUGGAUAAUCAAAGGUGAAUGUAAAUGAAAUGCUCCAUGUACGUUUAGGCUCCAGUAUAAGAUUAAAAUAGUGGAUAAAUCAUUGUACCAUAUUCAAUUAGAACUACAAAGAAGAAGAGAAAUGAUUGAAUAGCAAAUUCUGACCGGCCAAUUCCGCCGGGCACCGUCAUGGGAGGAGGCGAACCAUCGAGGAGCAGCAUGGGAGGAGAUGAAAAUAAGCUGUCGGACUCCCUAUUCACUUCUGGUUGCAUCUUGCCUGAACCGUAUCACAACAAAUCAUUGGCAUUGCAACUUCAAGGACAUGUAUGAUGCAUAUCCCAUCACUGAACAAGAUUGGAUUUUAGUGUAUACAAGCCAUCCUACUCGCUGCCCUCCUCAGCUACUCAGAUAGUUCUUCCUUCUCAUUAUCAGUGAAUAAGUUGGUUAUAGAACAUGCUUGAAGAUUGUAGUACAUAGAGAUUGCCUGGCAGACUAAAAUAAUUAGGAGCUUCUGAUUGGACCCUUCAAGCAAUAGUGUUGUCAAUAUACUAAUUGUUGGAUUAUGUUACUAUACUCUUAGAACAACUUCCUGAUAUAUGUAUUUAUAGGAUUCUCUGAGAUUUGAUGCAAAAUAUUGAUGGUCGGGUGAAUGUAGUGGACUCGUCGAGAUCGAGGGCACCAACGUCAUAUGCCGAGGGCGUCCAUCGACAACCUGCCCAAUGUCCGGAUUCACCGAGGAGUACAACUGGAGACACUAUUGGUUGCCUGCAGGCCUGUGAGUACUUGCACUUGGACUUUUUUUAUGAGCAGUACUAAGUAAUCUAAUGAUAUGCUCCUUGCAAUCUAAGGAAAAAAUAAAUCUAAGUCAUUUCCGAUCCUAAGGUUUGGGUACUAACUAUUUGUGUUUAUGUCUACAAGCUUUUGAUUUUCUGCGUGGUCUAUCUUUUAUUUGCAAUGUUGGACACUCUUUCCUUUUCUUGUGAAUAAUGUUUCUGUUUGAUCGUACUCUCGAUAUACUGCAUAUUAACUCUAUACUACAGAAUUUGUGAACAAUCAGUACUACACCUGGUUAUCUAGAGAGGAAGGCAAUGACAACUAGAUUAGACAUUUCACAAGAUCCUCCCAAUUACAGACAUAAACUCCUUGAUUAUCGGAGAUUGUCAGAUGGAAAGAAGGUGUAUCCUUUAUCUUUAUUUAGAUGUUUAAUUAGCUGUACAACCGUACAUGAUUUUGUAAGGAAACUAUUUAUCUUGAUGAUCCUGAUAUCGAGUCGUGUAUUAGUAUAGGCUGUAAUUUUUGGCUAGGAAUCUAUAUAUGCAGCCAUGUAUGAAUAGGCUAUGAUUCUUUUUUCCUUCUGAACAGAUUCUUUUUUUGUUCAUUCCUUGUGAAAUAAUUCCAGAGCUACUUUGUUGUAGUAAUUAUUUGGCACAUCCAUAACUCACCCAGUUUAUGCGUGAUUAUUUAGUGUAUUUGGUUCCAAAGUGAACAAACUAUUGGCCUUCGCUAGGCAAGGAUAGGUGUUUGGUACCAAAACAAAAAAUUAACUUUGUCAAGCUAACUAGCAUGCAUGGGUUUGAAUCAGCUACUUCUUAUAUCCCUGGACUAUAGAUAUUACAUGCAUCAGUACUUGAUGCAUCUCUGAUAACUUUUUGCUAAUAUCAUUGAAUUUCUCAUGAGAUCUCUCUAGACCUUUCCAAAUGUAUUUUAGUUCAGUGUUUUGUAUUAACUAGUAGAAGAAGGGAUGCAAAUGGAAAGAAUUUGAGAUGCAUAAACAUGAAAGCACUAAAAGAUUCUCUCAAAGCAAAGAUGUCUAGCCGGGAUACAUAUGGCAAGAACCUUCAGAGAUUGACUUAUUUUCAGCUGCUAUUGAGAUAUAUACUUGCUCAUAGGUCUGAAUAUCGUCAUGAUCUUGGCUGAGAGGCUGGCAUUUUGGAAGGUUCUCGUGUGUAUAGAUUAGUUAAUAGGAUGACAAUUUAAGUUUAUUGAAGCUCUUCGUUAGGAGGCGGGGGUCUGCUUUGGUUUCUUGCUAUUUUCCUUUCUCUCAAAGUACUUGAUCGGAUGCAUCUGACAGUUUAUAAAUCAAUAAUUUGGAUGGUUCUACUUAAAUUAUAACUCUUAGUCUUUUCACUUAAAAAUAAUGUGAGUUAUUUUUUAGGGGAAAAUAGCUUUUGUUCACUUAAUAAAUCAUGUUCGUUAUAAUCAAUGCUGCUAUAUCAAAAAGUAGUGUCUCGUGCUGGGUAGCAUCCAUGUAGCUAUUUCUUGAUCAUAUAAUCUUAUAUCCUAUAUGUGCAAAUCAGGCCUUUAGGCUACUAGAAUUUCACUAUUGUUUAACUUAGGAAAAGCUGAUUGAUCCAUUAUCAAGGGCAGCAUGAAUUAUAUGUGAUUCAACACUUUUAUUAAGUUUCCAUUCUUCUUUUAGCUUAUUAGUUGCUAGUACCAAGCAUGAUCUUUGGUUUGCCAUGUACAACACCAGAGUCAUUUUAUUAAGCUGGCAUUAGUAAUUUUGCAUUUUACAUGGUUCAUGUGCAAGUUAAACAUCUGCCCAAUAAUACUAAUAUUAAGUUUAUAAUGUUGGCACAGUCUGUUAUUGCCGUUAUCUUCUUGGGAGUACUUGAGAAGGAGUGGCUGGGAAUGUGGGGACACGGCAUGGCAGAGGUGCAUGGUUGGUUGGAGGAGUCACGGAGGCAUGAAUGUGGACAUGUGGAUGUUAUCGUGACAUUGAUACGUUUCACUGCACCGAUGCUGCAUACCAAGGAUUCGUUGGAAGCCAAACAGGGCACCCGAGAAGGAGAAGAGGAGAAUGCUCUGAAGAGAGGAAAUGAUAAGUUUUAUCGUUUUGUUUUAAGAGCAAGAUAAGAUUUGAUAUGUAGUUCCCUGGUUUCUUUGUAUUCUACUCCCUCUGUCCCGAAAUAAGUGUCUCGACCUUAGUAUAACUUUGUACUGGAGUUAGUACAAAGUUCACACACUUAUUUUGGGAUGGAGGGAGUACUAUGUGUAUGGCCAAAGCACUCAUGAUUUUGUAGACAUAUAUUUUUAAACAAAAGCCUAUGUUUUUUUUUGCUCAAACAGAGUCACUGGAAAGUGCACAUAUUUUCAAUGCGUACAUGAUUUCAAAUGGGUCUAUGUGAAGAUGCUAUAAAAUAUUUUAUGUUGUCAAAUUAAAAUGUGUACAUACAUCUCGUUGUAGACAACAAUCGACCAUUUUUCCUAUUUAAGGUGAUUGAACCAUGGAUAAUUUUUUCCUCACACACAUGGAUUUAGGGUGCCUCUACACCAUUUGGUGCAACAAGCACCUGUUUUCCUUAACUAAGAGAGAUUAAGUUUAUUGUCAUAUGUGCUUACCCGUAACAAAAUCAUCUAAACUAUGGAUUUGUUUUCAUCACUAACAUGGAAUCAGCAGGUCUUUGUGCUAUUUGGCGCGACAGGUUUCGCAGCGUAAUAACAUAUUUUCAAUAUAGCAUUCUACUACAAAUAUCGAAUAGGUUCUUGCAAAAUGAAACUAUUUUCAUCGACAACAUUGCUUUAGCGGGUCUCUGCGCCAUUUGGUCAACUAGUGUAGCUAAAUUUCAAUGAUUUGUCCACACAUAUAUGCAUUACAUAAUUAAUCAUAGUGUACGAAAUAUGAAGACCUCAUCAGAUGAAAAACAAUGGAUCCAUGCAUAUAUGUU